GCCAAUCUUUUCUUCCUCUCUUUACAAAAAUUUUGACCCCA
rnacentral:antisense_RNA from 1 species